AUACGGAGGGUGCAAGCGUUAUCCGGAAUCAUUGGGUUUAAAGGGUCCGCAGGCGGAUUAAUAAGUCAGUGGUGAAAUCCUCUCGCUCAACGAGAGAACUGCCAUUGAAACUGUUAGUCUUGAAUUCGGUCGAAGUAGGCGGAAUGUGUCAUGUAGCGGUGAAAUGCAUAGAUAUGACACAGAACACCGAUAGCGAAGGCAGCUUACUAGACCUGGAUUGACGCUCAUGGACGAAAGCGUGGGGAGCGAACAGGAUUAGAAACCCUGGUAGUCC
rnacentral:rRNA from 1 species